CAUCUAAGCGUUACGUAAUUUGUGGACGCUCCCUAUGAAUCAGUAGCAGUUGAACGAGUCGGCCAAAGCGUGGCCGUAGACUGCGGAAUUGAUCCCGCACUGCUAUGGUUAUGAAGACAGAUUUACACAUAACAAAAGACUAAAUUCUUCGGACAUCCAGAAGCUGUAAAAGCCAAUGGAUAAGCUGUUCGAAUUAUAUCAGCAACAUCAUCAAUGUAAAUUAAUCAGCUCCUAUUUGUCAUCCACGUUGGAGGAAAGGUGCCAUUCGGAUCCGGAUUUAAGUCACCUAUAUAUCUGCUGUUUUCGGCGCCAACAAGCGAUGGCACACAUAUAACCGCGCCAGCAUUGAGCGAAGAUGGCUUACGAGGAAAAUCAUAGCUUCAAAUGUUAAUGUAACCGGAUUGCAAUUAUAAUGGACCACUUUUCUGUCGUUCGUAGCAGGGCCGAGUACGGAACCGUUUUGUAGGCUAAUGCCUUGUUAAGUUAUAGUUCUCUUGGGCCAUCGAUUGAUCAUUGAUCAAUAGCAGAAGUAUGCUACUUAUUCAUCGAACUCAUCUAGUCUUCAUAAAUCUAAAGAAAAAGGAUUAUUCGCAUGAAAUAAAAUAUAAAAUAUAUUUAAAAUGUUUCUUAAUGUUAUGUAAACAUCCGAAAAUAAAAAAAGAAUGAAGAGUAGAAAGAUCAAGGUACCCAUAUCU